rnacentral:rRNA from 1 species
UAGGGAAUCUUCGGCAAUGGGGGGAACCCUGACCGAGCAACGCCGCGUGAGUGAAGAAGGUUUUCGGAUCGUAAAGCUCUGUUGUUAAGGAAGAACGAGUGUGAGAAUGGAAAGUUCAUGCUGUGACGGUACUUAACCAGAAAAGGACGGCUAACUACGUGCCAGCAGCCGCGGUAAUACGUAGGUCCCGAGCGUUGUCCGGAUUUAUUGGGCGUAAAGCGAGCGCAGGCGGUUAGAAAAGUCUGAAGUGAAAGGCAGUGGCUCAACCAUUGUAGGCUUUGGAAACUGUUUAACUUGAGUGCAGAAGGGGAGAGUGGAAUUCCAUGUGUAGCGGUGAAAUGCGUAGAUAUAUGGAGGAACACCGGUGGCGAAAGCGGCUCUCUGGUCUGUAACUGACGCUGAGGCUCGAAAGCGUGGGGAGCGAACAGG